GUCUCCACACUCUAUAGGAAAUGUACCUUUACCUUUGAACAAAGAGAAUAAGUCGUGAGGAUCUGCUGCAGAAGAACUUUCUCUUACUCACUGGCAAACUUUCAUCACAGAUAUUCAACGUUGCUAUUCUUCAUCGGUGUUUGAGCCAUGUCAUGAAAAAUGCCAAGGACCUUUGUAAAAAACACAUUCCAGAGAACUACAGGCUUGGGAUGCAUCUGUUUGGGCUGCUUGCAUGUUGUGCUAACUUAAAAGACAUGGAUGAGGUUGUCCAUAGUGCAGCAGUAGUGUUUUGCAGUCCUUGUAGUGGAAGGAAUAUAACAAAGCAUUACAACAACUUGAAACUCCUUCUGCAAAAAAGGGGGGACCCUAGAUGUAGAUGAAAGACUGUGAUUGCUGAGGACUACAAGGUUAACUUAUAUUUAUUAGUAAAGUAAUAUUAGUAAU
rnacentral:lncRNA from 1 species